GUUGUACACUCUGAUAUUCAACUGAUGGACCAUAGGCCGGUCAAUCCAGUUGACCCAGUUGGUCUUCCAGUCCCACAGGCAUAGGCAUCAUCGACUUCUUCAGUGGCGUUGCCUGUUAGCGCCCGACAUACUCACCGGCGCCCCCGCACUACAGACCAAAUGUAGCCAUCGGGAUCCACAACUGAUGGCCCGGGUACAUGACAAGAAAAACACUUGGGGACCUUGUCAGCAAUUGAAGACGGCGAAGUAUCCUAAUCGGAUACGAUGAGCGACAUCGAGCACCAACGGCGGAGCAACAUAGUGCAUUGGCCCAUGACUUUGGGCAUGUCGUGCGGACCUUUUGCCCUAUGCGGUGGAAGUCUUGGAAGGCGAUGCCAGAGGAGACGAAGAACACAAGGCGCAACCAAUUGUCCGUAAGUAGCGUCGCCUUUUUAAUGAUUUUCAUGUAAAAUUUAUAUAUUUAUAUUUAUUAUUGUCUUUUAUUACUAAUACUUUCAAAAUAUUUAUUACAUUGCAAACAAACUACAAUUUGGAGGACAUGGACGAAGACAUGUUCGCGUACCUCAAUCGGCUAUUCUCCGAAUGCUACAAGCAGUGGAAGAGUGACCUGCACCAAUGUUUCCAGCAAUUUGAUGAUCCGUAGGUCACUCUCGAGGAAGGUUGUCCGAAGGAGUUGGAGGACCGACAAGAUAGACAGGUUUGGCUUUGCGGUCAUUUUCAAGAGCCGGGCUAUGCGAAGAAGGCGAAGGCGAACAAGAUCAAUCGGGAGAAGAAGAUUCUUCUCCACCAUUCGGGUUCGAGGCCUUUCUUUGAUAGGAUGGAGGUGCGAUGGAAGGUUCAAAAUUUCCAAAGAUCGACGUCUUUGCUAACGUUUAUGUUCAGCCUGGGAAUGAGUUGACCGAGUCCAUUCAUGUGACUAUGGUGGAGAAGGGUUAGUCGGUGCUUCAAGAGUUUAUCUCCCAGCUUCCCUCGGACACGCCGAUUAAGUCUGUGGAUCCCCCUGAGGAUGCAGGAUUUCACAUCGUCACAAAGACGUUGAACCAGACUUUUGGUCGGAGGCCAGGGACUUAUUGUCGGGGGAUGGGAAAUGCCAGGUGGCGGGAGAGCAGAGCCUCGUCAUCAUCGUAGUCAAGAGGCCAGGUUACGACUUUGACACAAGAAGUCACUGGCCUGAGGAGUGAGCUGGCAUCGUACAAGUCUCAAAUAUCGAUGCUUGUACAAGCCCUCAGUUCCUCCGGAAUACAUCUCUCGUUUUUUCUGCACCAUCGCCCUCACAACCCUUCCACACCGAGCAAGCACAGCAAUCAGGCCCGUCGACCUCCGACCCCGCCCCCAACCAGCAGCAAGAUCCUUCGAAUGACAUUCCUAUAGAUUUUCCCGCUUUUUUUCAUAGUUUUGUUCCUGCUUUCUUUUAAAACUUUA